UACGUAGGGCGCAAGCGUUGUCCGGAAUUAUUGGGCGUAAAGAGCUCGUAGGCGGUUUGUCGCGUCUGUCGUGAAAGCCCACGGCUUAACCGUGGGUCUGCGGUGGAUACGGGCAGACUAGAGGCAGGUAGGGGAGAACGGAAUUCCCGGUGUAGCGGUGAAAUGCGCAGAUAUCAGGAGGAACACCGGUGGCGAAGGCGGGAUCCUGGGCCGGUACUGACGCUGAGGAGCGAAAGCGUGGGUAGCAAACAGG
rnacentral:rRNA from 1 species